rnacentral:tRNA from 1 species
CAUUGGAUAGCUAAAAGUUAGCAAUGGAAUUUUAAACCAUUUUAUAGUAAAUUCACGAUUACUUCUAAUGA